GACGAACCGUCCUAACGUUGUUCGGAAUCACUGGGCUUAAAGGGCGCGUAGGCGGCUUGCCAAGUCAGGGGUGAAAUCCUGCAGCUUAACUGUAGAAGGGCCUUUGAUACUGGCGAGCUCGAGGGAGGUAGGGGUAUGUGGAACUUCCGGUGGAGCGGUGAAAUGCGUUGAUAUCGGAAGGAACGCCGGUGGCGAAAGCGACGUACUGGACCUCUUCUGACGCUGAGACGCGAAAGCGUGGGGAGCAAACAGG
rnacentral:rRNA from 1 species